CAGCCAGGCGCUCCCCACCCUCCUUGCGGCUGCCUCAGGUGUGGGGCUGAAUGGAAGCGCUCUCUCUGUCACAGGGAAUGUAGGAAAACCUACAUUCGUGGUUAAGUUAUUUGAUUACAUUCAACACAAUUGAACAUUAUGGGUCAAAGAAAUGGUAGGGAGAAGAAGCAUUUCACUUUUUCCUAUGGACUGUUUCCCCUGCUCCAUACUGCCUCCCCAAUCAGCUCGCCCCGUGGAAAGCCAGAAAGCCACCUAGCAACAACUUGGACCUGGGAAAUAUCAGCUUGGUCACUCAACCGCACUGCUCAACAAACGAUGCCUCUGGAAGCCCAGAAGUGGAACAUGAAGGAACCUUCACUUUGUUUUUUAAAAAACAGCCAUGUUGGGGACACAAAAGUGAGAAAGCAGUGACACUCAUGACAACAUACAUAGAUCAACAAAGAGCUAAAAUUAAAGCACUAAACUUAGUGCAUGUGUGUUUCAGUAGUUGUUAAUAUUGUGAAUACAUAAUGCUUUUUUGUGUUUUAGGUAUUGCAUUUCUAAACUGUUACA